UACGGGGGGGGCAAGCGUUGUUCGGAAUUACUGGGCGUAAAGGGCUUGUAGGUGGCCAACUAAGUCAGACGUGAAAUCCCUCGGCUUAACCGGGGAACUGCGUCUGAUACUGGAUGGCUUGAGUGUGGGAGAGGGAUGCGGAAUUCCGGGUGUAGCGGUGAAAUGCGUAGAUAUCGGGAGGAACACCAAUGGCGAAGGCAGCUCGCUGGGACGGUACUGACGCUGAGACGCGAAAGCGUGGGGAGCAAACAGG
rnacentral:rRNA from 1 species